rnacentral:lncRNA from 1 species
CUCAGAGCAGAGCAAACUGAAGCAUAAGAGUCAAGUAUGAACUUGGUUUACUGUACUUUUCAAGAACCUGUACAGCAGCAACUACUGAAUUUCGAAAUGGAUACACAUCAGCUAAGCCUAAGGCCAUGAAGACUGAUGUCAUCCCUCCACCCUGAUCCCAAGCCCUGACAUGUGCUUCUUUCCAGGCUGUUUUGAGUAUUUCUGCCUUGGAUUGCUACACUUUUAUGCGUGACAGCCAGAAGCAAGGAGUUACAGAACACCUUUAUGAAGAAGAGCAGGCUUAUUUUGUUUAAUAUCCCUCCUGGCAAAUAAAUAUGCAUGCUGCCAUGAAGUGUGCUGGAACAAUGAGACUCACCCUGAAGUGAUUGAUCAGGGGGCACUGCUCUCACAGGGACCCAAGGAGAAGGGAGAAGUCUCAGCCACAGCAACUGUGCUCGUUGUCAAAGGGAAAGCACAGAUGAAAACACGUGGCAUAUCCUUGCCUCUGUGAAAACAUCUGAAGCAUACAAGACAGUGGAAAUGCUGAGUUUUUAUCUGGAUAUCCAUGGAUGCUGCCCAGAGUGUGCACGAGUAUGUCCUAGUCACCAGCCCAAAUACACCUCAAGCCUUUCAUCAAUUCCACAGUGCCAUGCCUCAGCAAAAUCAUACUGA